rnacentral:misc_RNA from 1 species
UUCCUAAUUUUUGAUUUCUUUUUACGAAUUAUACUUUGUAACAAAAACGAAAAUAACGGUUUCGUCCAAAAGUUAAAUAAAUUUAAAAUAAGUUAAAUUAAAAGCUUACAAAUAAGGCGAUGGAGGAAGACGAAGAAAACAGCAUUAAAAAGUUUUCAGCAGUUGUAAAAAACAUAGAGCGAUAUAUUUGUAAUAAGUCGUUUAUUUUGAAGGAUAUAAGUCCAAAUACUGAUGUAUUUGAUGUUACUUUACGAACUAAAUUGAGACAGGGAAAAUUCAUUCUUCACCCAUCACUUAAUAACAUAAUAAACAGACGACUGCUGAAAAUAAAUUCUUAUGUUAUUGUCACUAAGUACAAUAUUUAUGCUGAUGAAAUGGGUUUUUAUGCAAAUAAGAGUGUUUAUAUAAUAAAAGAAAUUAAAGUGUUAGAUUUUGAAGGUAAUGACACACUACCAUCAGAUGAAAAUUUUCCUGUGAACGCUUUUUUUUCAAGUAAACCAUUAGCGAGUUUGCAAGGAUAUUAUAUGCAUUUUUAUAUAAAUGAAGAAUGUUAUGGUAUUAUAUGGAAAGAAAACAAUUUUAAAAUAAUGGAACCAAACAUACUUUUAUCAAUUGACCAAUUAAACAUUCAGUAUGUAAAUAAAAAAAUAUUUAAGCCAUAUCACCCUGUUUAUGGCACUGUGAUUACAAAAUCUAGAUUGACUUACUAUGGAAAAAAAUGCCCUACUGUCAAAUGUCCAUAUUUGUUUUCAAUAGAAAUAGAAAGUAACGGUGUUUCAUGCAGUGUUAGUUUUUGGAGUACAUCUUGUUUUUCAUUUUUCAAGUCUAUCAAAGUUGGCCAGGUUUUAGUUUUUAAAAACUAUUCAAUUAGAAAAAGAUAUGGUAUACGAUCUAACACAGUGUUUAGCUGUAGCAAGUCAGCUGAUAUUGAGCUUACAAUUAAUCCAGAAAAUCCUGAAGGAGAAGUUGGUCUUUCAUCUCACAAGCCUUCUGUAAUACUAUACAGGUUUAAAACAUCACUUAACAAACAUAAAGUUGUUAAUGAGCAAAUUUAUGAUGUUGUAGGAGUUGUUGUCUAUAUUGGGAGACCACAGCGAGAAAUAGCAAAUCCUGAAAAAUCUGAAUCUGUUAGUUUUUGGAGUUUCAGGUGGAUUGAAUUAAAAACAGAUAAAAAUGGCUCAAGUAUUGAAGUCAAACUGUACUUUUGUUCCCAGUCCAAUUUGAUGGAUUCAUUAAUGAUUGGGAAUAUUUUUAUUGGAACAAGGUUACUUUGUAAAAUAGACGUUAUUGAAAUUGGUGGUAAACAGAACCAGUAUUCUUAUUUUACGUCUACAAAAGAAAGCCAAUUUUAUAAGUUUGACAAAGAUUGGAAAUGUGAAGAUUUGAUGGAUUUACCUUUUUCAUACUGUUCUGAAGUCAUUGAUGUUUUUCUGUUAACAAAAGAUCUCAACAGUAUGAAUACAGUGUUACAAAAUGGAUAUACAGGAGGUUGGUAUUCCUAUCCACCUUUACCAGACACAUUGCGUGGUUUAAAAGCCUUUUUGUCUCCUGAUCUAAUGGUACAUUCAUUAGAUGAUUUGUCUACAUUGGUUAAGAAACUUCAUUUUUAUCAAAGCACUUAUGUUUGUGUUUUUUCAUCCAUUGCUUCCGUUGAAGUUGUACAAAAGAAUAUCAAUCCUUAUAUCUGCUCACAAAAAGUUCUGAAUGAAAAAUAUUCACCCAAUAGUACCAGCAGAUUGACUGUUCUAGGAAACCCUGAUAUCAGUCAGCAAGAUAUUGAUGAUUUUCUUGAUUUACAUUAGUAGAAUAUGGAUAGUGGUUUUAUAUGUAUCAACUGUGGCAAACAUAAUUUAUCCAUUUAUAAAAGUUUUCCAAAUGGAACUACAAAGUUAUCAACUUGUGUAUACUGUAAAAAGCUGGUUGAUUGUUAUAGUGAGUAUGACAAUGUUUUAAUUGCUUUGAAUUUACUCCUGUUUAAGAAGGAAGCAUUUCGUCACAUUCUUUUUAACAAAAAAUAUUCAGCUUUGAUAAAAAUAACAAUGAUUGUGACGCUAGUGAAACAAUACACGAGACGACUUCAGUUUAUAAGUUUUUUGGCAAUGUUCCGAGUUGUAAUACUUGCAAGUUAUGGAACUUUGUUUAACUUGGCCCUUGUAGUGUGGAACAAUGAUGAUUUAAUCAUAACAAUUUGGUUAACACGAAUGUUUGUUUACUCUUCAUUGGUGCAGGCGUUAAAAGUAACAACACAGAUGCCAUUGUGUAUCGCUGCAAUAUUGGUGUUUAUCUCGACUGCGUCUCCUGCCGCCAUAAGUAGUUUUGCUUUUUGUUUUAUACAGUGAUAGUGAUGCUUAUAUAAUUCAAAUAUAUGUUACUUAAGACAAUGAAUAUAAAUAUAAUUUAUGAAAUUUUUCAAAUAUUUGUAUAAAUAUAUAUUUGAGUAAUUAAUAAAUAUAGA